rnacentral:lncRNA from 1 species
UCCUCUCCGCUCUAAAAUGAGGUGUAAACAAAAAUCCCGAAGGAAAAAAAACCACCCUCAAAGCUCGGACGCACGUCGCACGUCCCACCAAAUCCCACCCCCGCGCCCCCAAAUCCCAACCAUCUUCAUGUGGAUCCAGCUUCUCUUCCCAAGGAAAUCGCAGCAGUCGGCCUCCUCCCUCGCUCGACUCGGCAAAUCUGACGAGACCGAUGGCUCCUUUUUGCCUCUCACCCACGACCCUCUCACUUUCUCACCGCCGACCAGCAUGACGUCCUUACAACAUCUCAGCGGUGGCUGCGUUGAGGGCGCGUACGGAUGAGUAGACCAAGUACAAGGACGAGGGGAGGGCCAACAACCCGGACUUCAGAACGUUAUGUCAAAGGUGCGUCGACCUUGUUCCUCUCCUUCGUUUUUGUGAAUUUCCUGCCUGUGAGAAAUUUUGAUAAGGGGUGUCUUUCUUAUCUUCUUUAGCAACACACCGUAGGAUUCUCUUAAAUGCUUACCGGGAUCAUCCUUGCCUUAUCUUUGAGACAGCCAUGAUUGAUUGGGCGUUUUGACUUCAGAAUUGUGUCGUGGGAUUAAUUUUGUGCAAAACUGCAGAUUGCAAUCUCAGUGGACGAUUGAUUUUUAGAUCAAGUGGAGAAUAAAUGAUUCUUUAGCAUUUGUUUGUUCACAAACAUAUUGCCAUGGGUCUGAUGGCAGAUUGACUAAACCAUUGUAAUCAGACACAAUGAGAGUUCCUGGAUCAAUAAUUGUUUCCUGGAAAUUGAGAAAAAAAUCCUUAAUAGUUAUGAACCUGGAAGGCUUACUCCUCUUUUCAAUAAUUUUAAUUUAUCAAAAACAUGUUCGUGUUACCUGAAAUGCUAACAAGCUAUGAAGUGUUACCUACAUGUAAUAAGUAGAUCAUUUGUCCCUCUGUCAAACAGGUGAUCCUUGGUCAAGGUAUAUAAACCACUAGCAGAUAUAAAAUUCUGAAACCAAUAUUUAACCUCGUCGGUGCCUUUGGCAGAUGGCAAUGCCUGCACGUAUCAAACUUUACUUGCCGUGAGAUGGAUUGAAUCUUAUAGGAGCGUAACUAGCCAAAGCUAGCUCGAAUCGGUGAAUUGAUUGAUUGGUUAGCAACACACACACAUAUUAAAGCUGAUUGGUAACAUGCCUGUUAUUCAUGUUUCUUCAACUCACGGUGGUUAUGAACUAUGUUUAUAUUUCUUCAACUCAUGGCGAUUACAAGCUAGGAGCUAUAUGCAUUUAUGUAAGCUUAUAUAGAAGAUGACUAAGUAGAGUUAUGAUUUCUAUACUACUCGGACAAGAGAUCCCUGCUUACCUCUGACAAUUAGUGAGAUCUUGAGGUAACAAAAAGAGAGGACUAGCUAGCCCAUUACUAUUGUAUCCAGAUUCAUUCUGCUAACUGAUGAAGUUCUGAGCUACCAUCUACCAUAGUGAUUUAUUGAUAUAGUCCAUGUUCUCCUUUCCAUUAAUAGUGAAUGGAAUGGAUACGGAAAUAUCCUAAUUCUUGUUGGUCAGCUCGAGUAGUAAUUUUUUCGAUUGUUCCCAUUAUUAUUUCAUAUAUGCUAGCUUGCUAUCUUGUAUAGCUUAUUUCAUAUAGGGGGUCAACCUUAAAAAAGGUAUAAUGUUACAGAACCAUGUUAAUUGAGUUGGCACGAUAUUUUGUCUGUUUCAAAAUGCUCACUCAGAUCUUGGUUUUCUACUACAGAAUUUGACUAUUGUGCGUGCUUUCGUUCAUGAAGGUUCGACCUUCAAGUCUUAACAAUUACCCUUUCAAACAGGCAACACUCGGGACGUGCUCAAUCCUGUUUUUUGGGUCAAUUAAUUCAUAUAAUCUUGAUCAUUCGUGCAAAGCAAUUGUUACUGUAUGGUGAUGUUGUACAAACCUUUGGUAAUUGCAUGUUUUAUAAUUGAAUUUAACUGUUGAAGUUUAUGCCAAAGUAGGUUCCACUUGUUGUGAUGCUUUAUUGGUAACUGACAAGGGUUAAUAACUUAUUCCAGUUAAUUCUAUACAUUUCAAACAUUUGCAACUGGAGUAUUCUCUUGCUUAGUGUUUUUUACAUUGUGGUGUUACCUUUUUACGAAGAUGAGAGCGAGAUAGAUGUUGAUACUGCUGCUCCAACAUCUCAAGUUUCAAUCAAGCAUGGUCUGCUGAUAUGGAGAGCACAAGACCUGAACUUCAGUUCCUGGAACAAGUGAGAAAAUCUUAUUGCCUUAUAACUAUUUCCAUCUCAUUUUCCAAUAAAGAUGAUUAGGUAUUGAAGUCUAAAUUGUGUCUUAAAGUUGCUUUGGUUACUCUGGAUGUAUUGAAUUUCUUCAGUUACAUUAAGAUUCAAAUUAUAGAUUUUGCAAGUUAUUAGGGGGUAUCCCAAUGGACAGGACGCCCGCGAGUGGCAGUCAUCUUGAUCUGGUGCGGUACCAUCACGAACAUCGAGACGGGGAGGCAGGCUGGAGGCCAGGGCGGCAUCGGGCAAAAGCAUGGUGAGCGUGGCUGUGGUAUUGUACCGUGAAACAGCUGUGUUUGUGGCUGUUCUGUGGUGGUGACUCGUAGCUAUUGGAGCAGGGCCAGCGUCUGAUAAGCAAGCAAUGGUUCUUGAGCGCCACUGAAGCAAGCAAUGGUGCUUGAGGUUGCGGGGCCGAGCAGAUAUACAUGAGUGGUACGCAUCUCAUUUUGUCGUCGGGUUCUAAAUGAUCCCUCGAGUUUGCAGCUAUUUGUAUUUACGUUACAAAAGCAUACAUUCAUGGUUUAUGCCCUUUUUAAGGGUCUAGCGGAACUAAAGAGAAAACCAUCAUGUAACCAAUUUUGAAAAUUGAGUUUGAGUUUGAACCAAGAAAAGUUUACCAAAGAAGACAUCAAGGAACUUAUAUUUGGGGAGAUAUUGGAGUACCACCCUUAGCUUCUGAAGGAUUACAUGAACGGCUCUGGAAAAAUGAGCUUUCCAUAUGCUAGGUUUCUGUGACAUGCUUGUAAACUUUUCUCUAUUAUUUUGUUUAUGCAGCAACAUUCACAACUUUUUCCAUUGGCUCUUGAUUUUUUUGUUAUCCAGUGAUGUUGACCAUUUCUGGAGGCAAUUCGCUGACUAAGAAGAUGUUGCUGGGAAGAGUGGGGCAGUCAACAUGAAGCGUGUUUAUCUGAGGUGGCAACUUAAAUUCUCACAUUUUUCCCGAUUGUGAUCAGUUCAAUCUAUAUAUCAGUGUAACAAUGACUUGUGCCGCCAUACGUAGCUUGUGCCAAAAUUGGUCAGAAUUACUACCAAAAUGCCUUAGUUAAUAGGCUUUCCAACAAAGCAGGCUCGUGAUAUUGCAAAGGUUUAUUCAUGCAUAAUACGAAUUAUUGUCUUGCUUCACGGAUUUUGAAAAUUGGUGAUUUUGAUUUUGGGGUGACGUAGAUUUUAGAAUUUUUCAUAUACCGACCUGGUAUUAUUUUUCCAUUUAACUUCAAACAACAUCAGUCUAACUAUUUCGUCGUUGCCACUCUGGCAGCUGGACCAGACAGAGUGGCUUCGUCACGACAUCAAUGCAAAGUGCACGUAUAACUGAUUGACACAUUGGAUGAAUAGGGAAGGGAAUUGACGUAAUACUGCUCUUGCAUGCAAGAACACCUGCAGGGGAUACAUAAUCACUUCAGGCACGCAAGGUCACAUCAGAGAUUGGCAUGCUGUCCUCGGACUAUUACAUUCCACCAUUCAGCAGCAUAGCCACAGCGGGUGGAUAUGACAUGGUUGUUGUGGCAACAAGAAUGUACUACGACAAGGGUCGGGCAAGCUUGCAGUGUCGAGCAUGAGAAGGGAGCCCGAGAACGGCUACAGUUCCUGUUCCAGGCAGAGAUUCAGGGUCCAGGGGCACAUGGUAAAAUUUAUCCCUUUUUCUGAUUUUUUUAUAGUAGAUACUGUAGGAAACAACGGCUGUCUUGUACAUAUGGCAACACUUCAUUUUCUCUGUUCUGCUGUCUGAAGCUGCUGAUGCUCCUGCUUAUGUUAAUACUAGAUAGUUUUGUCAGAGUGGACGUAGUAGUACCUAUGUUUGAGAUGAAGUUGUAGGUUGUAGAGUUUCCUUGUCUGGAUUCUAUGAUGUAAUUUAAUUAUUUUAUUUUAUUUUUCAGUUGUAGCCAACCACAUGUAAUCUUGUGAUUCCCUUCUUAUAAUGUUGAAAUAGACAUAUUUUUUUGUCAGAUAAAUAAUUUGCGUAUCAGUAACUGAUUUU